GACGAACGCUGGCGGCGUGCUUAACACAUGCAAGUCGAACGAGUGGCGGACGGGUGAGUAAUGCGUGGGAAUCUGGCUUAUGGAGGGGGAUAACUACGGGAAACUGUAGCUAAUAACGCCUUCAAUAGGAUGAGCCCAAGUGGGAUUGGGUAGUUGGUGAGGGAAAGGCUCACCAGGCCGGCGAACGCUAGCGGGGUUGAGAGGAUGACCAGCAACACUGGAACUGGGACACGGCCCCUACUCCUACGGGAGGCAGCAGUGGGGAAUAUUGCGCAAUGGGGGCAACCUGACGCAGCCAUGCCGCGUGAAUGAAGAAGGCCUUCGGGUUGUAAAGUUCUUUCGGUAGCGAGGCGUUAACUACAGAAGAAGCACCGGCUAACUCCGUGCCAGCAGCCGCGGUAAUAC
rnacentral:rRNA from 1 species